UGGGUGAGAACACUCCACUUGUCCCUAGGCUAAGUCAUGUAUGUUUCCUAAUGCCUUAACCUGUGUGUUAAAUGUUUGAUUGUAUUUACUAGGUUAAUCACUUCCUCAUUUUGUAUGCUCUCUUAUGUCAUCAAGGAUGUCAUAGGGUUGAUUGGUACCAGGAGCUACUUAAUCAGCUGAGGUGGAGCAGCUGGGAGUAUGGCAGUCUAAGUGUAGUGGUGUGCACGUGCCUAGAGAAGGCUAUGCAAAGACUGGACUGUCUCUCUAAGGAGUGGUUCCAAGACAGAUGUCUGGAGGAUGGAUUCUCCCAUAUGGCUCCUAUUGCCUGGGCGCUCACUCAAGAGGCUAUCAUGAAGUUCUUUCCUUAACUGCUCUGACAUUGAUGCAGUAUGUAUCGGGCCUGUAUUUGUUAAGAGAAGUGAUUUCUUCACCUCCUUUGCUGAGAAGCUGAAAGCUCAGGAAGAGGUCAAGGAUCUACAGAGCGUAACAUUUACUCCAACAGACUGGGCUUCUUGGGUGGUGUAUCAUGGGCCAUACUGGUGGCCAGAACUUGUCAGCACUACCCAAAUUCUCUGGCACCCACCCUGGUCUUUAAAUUUUUCAAGGCCUACUCUAUGUGCAGGCCGGUAUUGAAGGUGGGACCUCUCAGGAAGACGGGCAGGAGCUGGAGCGGUGCCAUCACUAAUAACUCAUCAGGCACAGGCUCUGAAGUGAUGGUGUUGCUGUCGACCCACUGGGACAGAGGAGCAGAGGUGGCAUCAUUCUUAACUGCCCUAGAGUACAAGAACAGGCAGGUCGAAUUGGGGCCAGAAGCAAAAUUCUUGUAUGAGGCCCUCCCCAAAUCCACCCAUGGCGCAAACAGUAAUCACAUCCUGCCAAACCUUCACACAGUGUUUAUUCAUAAUUGCACUUUCUAUUGUCUACAAAUAAAACUAUAAACAUUGAGAUGGUGUGAGUAUAUUAUGUUGUAAUAUUUGAGUAGGUCGGGGUUGAUUUGAGGAAUGUCAUCACCUCUGAUGGAAAAUGUGAAAAAUGUAUCCUUCUUUAUAAUUAAAGCAUCAAAAAUAAAAAAAACUUGA